AAAUUAUAUAAAUAAAUAGAAUAAAAAAUACCAGGUAACGGGCAGUAUGGAAAAUAUAAAUGAAACAUUGCAAGGGUUAAGCGCGGCAAUAACGGUGUUAGCCGAUCAAUUUUCAAGUCUAAAAGGAGAAUUGAAGCAAUUGAAUAAUAAAGUGGAUAAAUUGGAAAAUAAGGAUACUAAUAAGUCUUUAUUAAUAGAAGAACAACAAAUCUCACUGGAACAACAAAUCUCACCGUCCACGUUCGGAGCUUGAAUUAAAUGAAAUUUCGUCAUUGCCGGACUGUGGCCUUAAACAAGCGAACAAUGAGUCGUAGUAUUGUCCGCAUUAAUAGAAUCAUAUAGAGAUAGAGCUUUAGAUGUUUUCAUAAGGGGACUAAACGGGACUAUGUCUCGUGGAAUUAAUGAUUAUCAACAAAACAAAAACUGGAAAAAUUCUUCAUAAAUCAGAUUUAAGAAAAUAGGAAAAAAAGGAAAAUGCACAUUUAAUUAUAUUGUAAUAAUCUUCUUUUAGCUUCCUUAACUUCCUUAACACCCAUAGCAUCCACAGCAUUUUACACGUGGUAUAUCCCUCCUAGUUUCGAUCAUUCAUGGUAAUAGGGAUUUCCGAGAUGCCAGACGGAAUGAAAUAAAUGCGCUUACAAUGUUGGAUGUAUUGUCAUAACCACAAGUGAAUACUAAAUGUAUGGAACUAUGAAUGCUUUGAAUUAACUUGAAGGUGGAUAUCGAUGGCCCUCUUUAUGCUAAUUUAUGGACUCUGGAUAAUAAAUUUAUAUUGGAUAAUUAUCAUUA